GACGAACGCUGGCGGCGUGCCUAAUACAUGCAAGUAGAACGCCGAAGAGAGGAGCUUGCUCUUCUUGGAUGAGUUGCGAACGGGUGAGUAACGCGUAGGUAACCUGCCUUGUAGCGGGGGAUAACUAUUGGAAACGAUAGCUAAUACCGCAUAACAAUGGAUGACACAUGUCAUUUAUUUGAAGGGGCAAUUGCUCCACUACAAGAUGGACCUGCGUUGUAUUAGCUAGUAGGUGAGGUAAUGGCUCACCUAGGCGACGAUACAUAGCCGACCUGAGAGGGUGAUCGGCCACACUGGGACUGAGACACGGCCCAGACUCCUACGGGAGGCAGCAGUAGGGAAUCUUCGGCAAUGGGGGCAACCCUGACCGAGCAACGCCGCGUGAGUGAAGAAGGUUUUCGGAUCGUAAAGCUCUGUUGUAAGUCAAGAACGGGUGUGAGAGUGGAAAGUUCACACUGUGACGGUAGCUUACCAGAAAGGGACGGCUAACUACGUG
rnacentral:rRNA from 1 species